rnacentral:rRNA from 1 species
AGAUUGAACGCUGGCGGCAGGCCUAACACAUGCAAGUCGAGCGGUAGAGAGGUGCUUGCAUCUCUUGAGAGCGGCGGACGGGUGAGUAAUGCCUAGGAAUCUGCCUAGUGGUGGGGGAUAACGUUCGGAAACGGACGCUAAUACCGCAUACGUCCUACGGGAGAAAGCGGGGGACCUUCGGGCCUCGCGCCAUUAGAUGAGCCUAGGUCGGAUUAGCUAGUUGGUGAGGUAAUGGCUCACCAAGGCGACGAUCCGUAACUGGUCUGAGAGGAUGAUCAGUCACACUGGAACUGAAGACACGGUCCAGACUCCGUACGGGAGGCAGCGAGGUGGGAAUUAGUUAGGACAAGUGGGACGAAAGCCUGAUCCAGCCAUGCCGCGUGUGAGAAGAAGGUUCGUUCGGAUUAGUAAAGCUAACGUUUUAAGGUGGGAAGGUAAGGUUUAGUUAAACCUUAAGUUACGUUG